AUCGAACGCUGGCGGCAGGCCUAACACAUGCAAGUCGAACGAGUGGCGGACGGGUGAGUAAUGUCUGGGAAACUGCCUGAUGUAGGGGGAUAACUACUGGAAACGGUAGCUAAUACCGCAUACCACCCGUUGUGCCCAGAUGGGAUUAGCGAGUAGGUGGGGUAAAGGCUCACAUAGGCGACGAUCCCUAGCUGGUCUGAGAGGGUGACCAGCCACACUGGAACUGAGACACGGUCCAGACUCCUACGGGAGGCAGCAGGGGGGAAUAUUGCACAAUGGACGCAAGCCUGAUGCAGCCAUGCCGCGUGUGUGAAGAAGGUCUUCGGGUUGUAAAGUACUUUCAGCGGGGAAGCGUUACCCGCAGAAGAAGCACCGGCUAACUCCGUGCCAGCAGCCGCGGUAAUAC
rnacentral:rRNA from 1 species